rnacentral:misc_RNA from 1 species
GCACGCCCGAGCGCUUUCAAUCCAUUUCACCCUUUGUGCAUCACCGCGCGGGGUCUCUUCCGAGAGGCUCGCGUUUUUCAUACAAACACGUUUAUAGUCAGUUUAGAAUGUCACUUAUUUGCGAUCACACGCAAUCAAUACAACUUUCAACAAUGGAUCUCUUGGCUCUCGCAUCGAUGAAGAACGCAGCGAAAUGCGAUACGUAAUGUGAAUUGCAGAAUUCAGUGAAUCAUCGAAUCUUUGAACGCACCUUGCGCCCCUUGGUAUUCCGAGGGGCACACCCGUUUGAGUGUCGUGAAAUUCUCAAACCUUCUUGGUCUCUCGAUCAAGAUGGCUUUGGACUUGGAGGCGUUUGCUGGCUUUGCGAAAAGCCAGCUCCUCUUAAAUGCAUUAGUGGGGUCCCCUUUGCCGAUCCCGAGGCGUGAUAAGUCAUUUCUAC